AUGGAAACGGCAUGUCCCGCUCCUGCAGACCAUCCAGAUGGGGGAGCUGAACAGCCCCCUCGGGGCUCCCAUCCAGAGUCCAGAGGGCAGGAGAGGCUGGGGACCGGGCUUGGCGGCCCUGCGCCAAGGGCUUGCUCUCUUUGGAGGGUCCUGGGGGCUGACAGUGGAGCCAGAGCUGGGGCAAGAGGGCGGGGCAGGGGGAGACAAAGGGGGAAGCGGGGCAGGAAGGGAAGUCAGCAGAGAGCGGCUUCAGCCCAGAAGGAAGAGCAGCCGCUCUGCACUUCCCGCUGGGCAUGUUUGGAGAGCUCGGCGCUGGCAGGAAGGUCUGUCUUUCCGGCCUCCCCUGCCCAGCGGAGCCUCCCAGCACCCUGGGGCGAGCCAGGGCAGGUUCCAGGGGCCACUUUGGAUCUCCCCUCCAGUUGUGGGCGACUCCCCAUUACACUCAGGCCUGAUUCCAAGAGGCUCCCUCCUCCUUGCUCACCACCCCAGCUUCUGGAGCUGGACUCUGCUCCGUCUAACGGAGGCCCCCCGGGGCUCCUCGGGGUAGGCCGCGUCCCCGAACUCAGCCCAGGUGCCCCACACACAGGUGCCACCAAAUGCUUUAGUGGGGGUUUUGUACAGGUGCUGCUGGGACCCUCUGGGAUGUGUGCGCUGUGCCUGGCACACCACGAGACUGGCAUCUCUCAGAAUAGGACAGGAAACAGAUGGCCCACUUAUGGGGGGGGGCAAAGAGAUUUGUUAAUGAAAAGAGCAUUUUCAGAGGUGUUGGCAGCAUUGAGAGAACCACCAGGGCUGCUGAGGCACCGAGAGACCUGUGACAGAAGAAGCUAUGACCACCCCCAGGCUGAAGGGGUGUGGGAAGAAGGAUGCUUGUCACCAGAGCGAGGCCCAGGGCCUCAGGAAGGGCCAUCUGGUGGGAUCUGUGCUCCUAAAGGCCGGCUGAGCCGCCGCAGCCCCCACGGACACGGGAAACCCCACGGGCUCUCUCCUCAGAACACAGCCGGGAUCUGCCCCGGCGCCCCCCUCGCCGGAUCGCCCCUGGAUCACGCAGAGGACUCCCCCCGGCUUCCCCGCCACGUCGCCACCAUCUGUUGUCCACGCGGCAGCUCGGGGGGGGGGGCUAACGCACACGCGGGGGCCGUGGGCCCUCUGCUCACCACCGGCACAAGCAAAAGUGCCUGCGACCGCCUGGUCCAGGCCGCCCCCCGGGCCCUGCCCUGCUUUUCACGUUGCACUUAG
rnacentral:lncRNA from 1 species